GAAUCACCUUUCCACGUUCGUUAACUUAAGAAGUUAACCUGGAACAAGAAUUCUCCAUCAUCUUGUCACCUUGCAGAGCUUUCUGUGAAUGAAGGAAAGCCUGGACUCUAGCGGAUCAGUAAGAUGGCACAGAAAGAGAUAUGCCCCUGGAGUGAUGCCCACUUCCUAGAUCAGAGGUAACAUCAGUGAAAUGAGUCAAGCUCCAUGUGUUUUGAGUAAGACCUUACAUCUUGCUUUAAGGUUGUCCUCAUGUUCUAUACAGAAUUUGCUAAGAUCCCU
rnacentral:lncRNA from 1 species